rnacentral:sRNA from 1 species
ACACGCGCACUGAAUACCAACGGCAGGCGUGGUGACCGACACCCUGUGCACUUGAGGACCUGCAAUGAAACCAGAAGCCUACUCUAUCGUGGUAGCACAUGUAUAAUAAGCAGAGGCGUGCAGGAAAGAAAAAGAACACAACUGAGACAAAAUAGAGCUUCUAGGACUUUAGUCAAAGGCAGAAAGUGAUUUAACCUUGACAGUGAUGACGUCCUGAGCUGGUUCACUCUGCUGCCUCAUAGGCUGCUCGCAUCCUGGGUGUUACGAGCUGGGGACCGAACCAGGGCCUUGCGCUUCCUAGAAUUACCAAGUUGGACAGAAUAUUAUUCUACUGACAGCUGUCACUUGGCCGAUUUUAAAAUCUUCCUCAUUGUAUGUCUGUUACGGGGACUGGGCACGUGGUGUAUUACAAGGACACCCAGCAAAUCUUCAACAUCAUCUGAACAGUGGUUCUCAGCCUUCCUGAUGCUUUGACCCUUCAAUACAGUUCCUCACAUCGUGAUGACUCCCAACCAGAAAAUCGUUUUUGUCUCUACUUCAUCACUGCAGUUUUGCUACUGUUAUAAAUCAUUAUGUAAAUAUGUGAUAUGCAGGAAAUCUGAUAUGUGACCCCUGUGAAAGGGUCAUUUGACCCCCAAAUGGGUCGCAACCCCCGGGGUGUAAGCCACUGGUGUAGGAGCACAAAUAACCACUGAAGGCCCUUGAUUUGGUUUUUCUUUUGUGUAAGCCAGUGGCUGAUUCCGCAUGCAGAGCUCAAGGAGGGUUUGUAACGAAGUUUUCCCCUUCUACACUUGUUUCCCAGAUUCUCAGUUCCUCUUUCAAGGGUACACGGUGUGGAUCGGGUGUCACUCCAUGUUUUACGUACAUCUAAGCUGCAUUUGUGACACUGAUCUCACUCAGCCCUAUUAAAAAUUUCGGAAUGUACCAGGCACACUUUA